rnacentral:tRNA from 1 species
CGCGGGGUGGAGCAGCUCGGUAGCUCGCUGGGCUCAUAACCCAGAGGUCGCAGGUUCAAAUCCUGCCCCCGCAACCA